GACGAACGCUGGCGGCGUGCUUAACACAUGCAAGUCGAGCGGUAAGGCCCUUUCGGGGGUACACGAGCGGCGAACGGGUGAGUAACACGUGGGUGACCUGCCCUCAGCUCUGGGAUAAGCCUGGGAAACUGGGUCUAAUACUGGUUAUGACUCCACGGUGCAUGUCGUGGGGUGGAAAGCCUUGUGCGGCUGAGGAUGGGCCCGCGGCCUAUCAGCUUGUUGGUGGGGUGAUGGCCUACCAAGGCGACGACGGGUAGCCGGCCUGAGAGGGCGACCGGCCACACUGGGACUGAGACACGGCCCAGACUCCUACGGGAGGCAGCAGUGGGGAAUCUUGCGCGAAUGGGCGAAAGCCUGACGCAGCGACGCCGCGUGAGGGAUGA
rnacentral:rRNA from 1 species